GGAAGGGAAAGAGGAGGAGGAGGAGGAAGAGGAGGAGGAGGAGGAGGAGUCAUGCUUUGGUCUGUCUUGGAUGUUUCGACAUACAGUGGUGCAGAGUACGUGUUUCCAUUCUGAAACCGAAGAAAGAAGGCACAGUGAGGAAAUACGAGAUCAAGGUGGGACUGAAGCCAAUCUAGCAGAUGCCAAACCUCAUGUCCAUGUGUGAUGAUACAGGGCUCUUCAACUCUCCCACGCCUUCCAGCUUUUUUACUGCAAUGAUAUGAUCCCCCUUGUGUCGAUUCCAUACCCUGCGCACAGCCGUCCAGGGGCAAGUAUUCCUUAAUUCUGGCCUUUAACUCUUGUGGUCCCCAACACAACCCAGUCAUAGGCCUCAUAGCUUCCUGCAAUGGCUUCUUGGUGCCUCCAUGUGGGGUUGUCCCUACACCUUUCUUUAACCUCAGAGGGUGAUUCCACAGCCCCGUUACUCAUGUAUCCUUCAUGGUUUUAAAGCAAGAAUUACACGGCCAAUGAGGCCAUGUUCUUCUGCCUGCUUGGGAUAGAACCAGGACUGUCCUUGAAUCUCACUUGUAUAAACUUUGGUUUCCUGAUGCUCUUUGAAAUCAGGUAAUUCGGUCUUUCCCCCUCAAUAUUUUGUUUGUUCACUUUGCAUUCUGAUCACAGCCCCCCUUUCUCUCAUGUUCCCAGUCAUGCCCUCACAAAUCCCUCUUUCUCUAUAGUAAUCCCUCUCCUGCUCCUCAGAGAAGGGGUAGGCCCUCCCUGGGUACCAUCCCACCUCAGGACAUCUAGUUCCAGAAGGACUAGACACAUGCUCUCCCACUGAGGUCCAAUUAGAUGGUCCACCUAGGGAAAGGGAUCCAACUGUAGGCAAUAGAAUCUGUGACAGCCCCUGUGUCAAUUGUUAGUGGACCCACAUGAAGACCACACCCCACAUCUGUUACAAAUGUGUAGGGAUCCUAGGUCCAGCUUCUGCAUGCUCUCUUGCUGGUGGUCAGUCUUUUUGAGCCCCGGGAACAGAGAAUCCUUUAGGUCUUUUCAUAAGUUGCAGAAUUAGUUUGGGUAAAAGGUCUCAUCCUGAGGGCAUCACUCCCUUUCAUCCAUUUCUUUUUAUCCUUUUCAGCAUCAAGGCUACAACAUCAAACUUCCUGUGCUCUUUUCUUCCUCAAAGUAUAACUUUUAUAUUUCUUUUUGCCCCACUUGUUCUUUUUUUCACUUAAGAUCUGCUAACGGUAAUCACUAAGAACCACACAACAAAAUCAUUAUUAAACUCUAUGAAAGCUCUAGUCCAAAACCCUUCAAUUUAGCUUCAGCCGAGACAGAAAGCAACCUUUCUCCCGAUACUAUGACAAGAAUUGUCUGUCUCUAGCCUGGUUUGUAAAGCUAAUGUUUGUUCACCAGAUGUAAUUUAUGUCUCAGAGGCUUAAUGCUGGAUAAGCUCACUUUUUUAUGAUCUCUCUGAACUCUGGCUGGCUGAUUCAACUCAAUUGUUCAGACUCAAACUCUUUUCUAUUGGGGUCUAGUAAGUGCCACAGAACUACACGGACACCAGUCUCAGUCAGACAGGGAUAGUUUAUUAAGCAUAAGCCCCAGGACUAGUCCAUCAGGGUCAUUGUCUAAUUCAGAAGCUGGACCAUGAUCCCUUUUAUAAGCCUCAAAUCUACAAACACAUGUGUCAAGUUAUCCCACCAAUCAGGAUUUAGGGAUAGGGGAUUUCCUUAGGAACAUUUCUCUUUUGUACAUUUAUCCUGUUCCCGUUGCCUGGGGAAUUCCACAGUGGCAGGGGACUUGCCUUGUCUAGUAUUCAUGUCCUAAGUUGUCUACCAGGAUGGGACUUGUCUAGCAUUCGUGUCUUAACUUGCCAACCAGGAUGUCAGUUACCCACAUUCAUGUGUCUUCCUGCCAAGUAGAAUGUGAGUUCGCAGGGAGGUCUUGGGAACUUAAACUUUACUUGACCACUACUCAAAAUGGGAGUCUCAUAUCAAAUUGUCUCUUAUGUUGGUGCAGGUGUUUCUCUUAUGUUGAUGUCCAUCCCAGGGGCAGCUUAUACCAUGAAAGCUUAUACACAGGUGCAGGAAGUGCUGGUGGGUGGUUGGUUCAUGUCCAAGCUUAUCGUGUGUAACUAUACAAAAUAGUUCUACUGAUUGUAUCAUGGUUGUUUCCAAGGGCACUGAACAGAACAGAAUAUGUAAUCGAUCUUGCCAUUAGAAAAUUUCCUAGUAAUAACAGAAACACAUGAGAAAGUUUUUUUUUAUCAUGAAAGGCUAGCCAGGUAAGUGUUACCUAGGUUUUAACAUUUCACUUAGGUCUCAAAUUUCCAUGUGACAUCGUCCCUUUGUCUUUUCUCAAAUUAGAUGCUGCUUUCCAACAUGACUGCUUCCUUCUACAAACUCACUUUACCUUCAUUGUUUGGGAUUAAAUGUGUGCACUAAGUGUGUGCCUAUAUUCCAUCCAGAAGCAUUAAAAGUGUGUCAUUCCAGCUGGAUCCCAUAGACCUAGAAGGCCUUUGGAUGCGAUCCCUUCCCAGAGAGAGCAGCCAUGUUGCUGGAUUAGACUUCCUGUACACGGGUUGAAAUGUUGCCUUCGUGUGGAGCUGCGCCUUCACAGUCCACACUGUUCUCAGUCCUUUCAAGCCUGUAUAGGACUGCCCGUUAAGCCAUCUUUACAGCAUGCAGUCACUUUCCUACCCCACAGUCUUCCACAUUCCUCAAAAAUCAAACAAACAAAACAUCCCAGCAAGGUCACGGUUGCGGCAGCCAUACACCACUUCUGCUACCAACUUCUCUCUUAUUUUUUGUUGCUGUGAAGAGACACAAUGACCAAAGCACCUUAGAAAACAAGGCGUUUAAUGUGGUGGCCCUUGAUUUCAGAGAGGGAGUGAGUCCAUGAUCAUUAAGGAGGGGAACAUGGCGUCAGGCAGGCAAACAUAGCAGUGAAUUGGUAGUUGAUAACUUACUGACCUAUGAACAAGACAUAGAGGGGAUAGGGCUGCGGCACAAUGGGAAUGGGGUGGCCUUUUGAAAUCUCAAAGCCCUCCUCAAAUGAAAUACUUCUCUAACAAAGCCACACCUCCUAAUCCUUCCCAAACUGUUUCACCAACUGAGGACUAAGCAUUGACAUAGAUGAGGCUACGGGACCAGUAUUAUUCAAACCACCACAAUACUGGGUUGUUUUGCCCCGCGUCCACAUAGCAAGUAGAUAAGAGCUGCUGUCCUUACAAUGUUGAACCUUUUUAUCUAUGUGAACGUGAACCAGUUUUCCAUUUCUUCUUUGAUUCCUUCAGACACAGUGUUUUUUCCUCAAAUAGAUCUUGUGUGUG
ensembl:lncRNA